GGGACACGUGGUAUCCUGUCUGAAUAUGGGGGGACCAUCCUCCAAGGCUAAAUACUCCUGACUGACCGAUAGUGAACCAGUACCGUGAGGGAAAGGCGAAAAGAACCCCGGCGAGGGGAGUGAAAAAGAACCUGAAACCGUGUACGUACAAGCAGUGGGAGCACAGGUUUACCUGUGUGACUGCGUACCUUUUGUAUAAUGGGUCAGCGACUUAUAUUCUGUAGCAAGGUUAACCGUAUAGGGGAGCCGCAGGGAAACCGAGUCUUAACCGGGCGUUAAGUUGCAGGGUAUAGACCCGAAACCCGGUGAUCUAGCCAUGGGCAGGUUGAAGGUUGGGUAACACUAACUGGAGGACCGAACCGACUAAUGUUGAAAAAUUAGCGGAUGACCUGUGGCUGGGGGUGAAAGGCCAAUCAAACCGGGAGAUAGCUGGUUCUCCCCGAAAGCUAUUUAGGUAGCGCCUCGUGAAUUCAUCUCCGGGGGUAGAGCACUGUUUCGGCUAGGGGGCCAUCCCGGCUUACCAACCCGAUGCAAACUGCGAAUACCGGAGAAUGUUAUCACGGGAGACACACGGCGGGUGCUAACGUCCGUCGUGAAGAGGGAAACAACCCAGACCGCCAGCUAAGGUCCCAAAGUCAUGGUUAAGUGGGAAACGAUGUGGGAAGGCCCAGACAGCCAGGAUGUUGGCUUAGAAGCAGCCAUCAUUUAAAGAAAGCGUAAUAGCUCACUGGUCGAGUCGGCCUGCGCGGAAGAUGUAACGGGGCUAAACCAU
rnacentral:rRNA from 2 species